GGGUACACUUACUUUGAUGU
rnacentral:siRNA from 1 species